rnacentral:rRNA from 1 species
AGAGUUUGAUCAUGGCUCAGAUUGAACGCUGGCGGCAGGCCUAACACAUGCAAGUCGAGCGGUAACACAGAGAGCUUGCUCUCGGGUGACGAGCGGCGGACGGGUGAGUAAUGUCUGGGAAACUGCCUGAUGGAGGGGGAUAACUACUGGAAACGGUAGCUAAUACCGCAUAACGUCGCAAGACCAAAGUGGGGGACCUUCGGGCCUCAUGCCAUCAGAUGUGCCCAGAUGGGAUUAGCUAGUAGGUGGGGUAACGGCUCACCUAGGCGACGAUCCCUAGCUGGUCUGAGAGGAUGACCAGCCACACUGGAACUGAGACACGGUCCAGACUCCUACGGGAGGCAGCAGUGGGGAAUAUUGCACAAUGGGCGCAAGCCUGAUGCAGCCAUGCCGCGUGUGUGAAGAAGGCCUUCGGGUUGUAAAGCACUUUCAGCGGGGAGGAAGGCGGUGAGGUUAAUAACCUCACCGAUUGACGUUACCCGCAGAAGAAGCACCGGCUAACUCCGUGCCAGCAGCCGCGGUAAUACGGAGGGUGCAAGCGUUAAUCGGAAUUACUGGGCGUAAAGCGCACGCAGGCGGUCUGUCAAGUCGGAUGUGAAAUCCCCGGGCUCAACCUGGGAACUGCAUUCGAAACUGGCAGGCUAGAGUCUUGUAGAGGGGGGUAGAAUUCCAGGUGUAGCGGUGAAAUGCGUAGAGAUCUGGAGGAAUACCGGUGGCGAAGGCGGCCCCCUGGACAAAGACUGACGCUCAGGUGCGAAAGCGUGGGGAGCAAACAGGAUUAGAUACCCUGGUAGUCCACGCCGUAAACGAUGUCGAUUUGGAGGUUGUGCCCUUGAGGCGUGGCUUCCGGAGCUAACGCGUUAAAUCGACCGCCUGGGGAGUACGGCCGCAAGGUUAAAACUCAAAUGAAUUGACGGGGGCCCGCACAAGCGGUGGAGCAUGUGGUUUAAUUCGAUGCAACGCGAAGAACCUUACCUGGUCUUGACAUCCACAGAACUUUCCAGAGAUGGAUUGGUGCCUUCGGGAACUGUGAGACAGGUGCUGCAUGGCUGUCGUCAGCUCGUGUUGUGAAAUGUUGGGUUAAGUCCCGCAACGAGCGCAACCCUUAUCCUUUGUUGCCAGCGGUCCGGCCGGGAACUCAAAGGAGACUGCCAGUGAUAAACUGGAGGAAGGUGGGGAUGACGUCAAGUCAUCAUGGCCCUUACGACCAGGGCUACACACGUGCUACAAUGGCAUAUACAAAGAGAAGCGACCUCGCGAGAGCAAGCGGACCUCAUAAAGUAUGUCGUAGUCCGGAUUGGAGUCUGCAACUCGACUCCAUGAAGUCGGAAUCGCUAGUAAUCGUAGAUCAGAAUGCUACGGUGAAUACGUUCCCGGGCCUUGUACACACCGCCCGUCACACCAUGGGAGUGGGUUGCAAAAGAAGUAGGUAGCUUAACCUUCGGGAGGGCGCUUACCACUUUGUGAUUCAUGACUGGGGUGAAGUCGUAACAAGGUAACCGUAGGGGAACCUGCGGUUGGAUCACCU